UACGUAGGGUGCAAGCGUUGUCCGGAAUUAUUGGGCGUAAAGAGCUCGUAGGCGGUCUGUUGCGUCGGCUGUGAGAACCCGGGGCUCAACUCCGGGCCUGCAGCCGAUACGGGCAGACUAGAGUUCGGCAGGGGAGACUGGAAUUCCUGGUGUAGCGGUGAAAUGCGCAGAUAUCAGGAGGAACACCGGUGGCGAAGGCGGGUCUCUGGGCCGAUACUGACGCUGAGGAGCGAAAGCGUGGGGAGCGAACAGG
rnacentral:rRNA from 1 species